GCCCCAAUAGAUUAACGGUCAAAUCGUACCCUUCACACAUGGAGGUCCCUACAAUCGGGUAAGCUCUCGGUUCGAUUCCGAGUUGAGGCA